rnacentral:rRNA from 1 species
GCCUGGCCCUAAAUCUUGAUACUUACCCUACCGAAGUAUCCGCCAGAGAACUACGAGCACAAACGCUUAAAACUCUAAGGACUUGGCGGUGCCCUAAACCCACCUAGAGGAGCCUGUUCUGUAAUCGAUAAUCCACGAUCAACCCAACCGCCCCUUGCCAAACACAGCCUACAUACCGCCGUCGCCAGCCCACCUCGAAUGAGAGCACAACAGUGGGCACAACAGCACCCCGCUAAUAAGACAGGUCAAGGUAUAGCCUAUGAGGCGGAAGAAAUGGGCUACAUUCCCUAUACAUAGGGCAAUACGGAAAGAAGCAUGAAACUGCUUCUAGAAGGAGGAUUUAGCAGUAAAGCGGGAUAAUAGAGCCCGCUUUAAGCCGGCCCUAGGGCACGU